rnacentral:rRNA from 1 species
UACGAGGGGGCAAGCGUUGUUCGGAAUUAUUGGGCGUAAAGGGCGCGUAGCGGUGCGGUAAGUCUGAUGUGAAAUCUCCGGGCUCAACUCGGAGUGCUGCAUCAGAAACUGCCGUGCUCGAGUGUGGGAGAGGUGAGUGGAAUUCCCAGUGUAGAGGUGAAAUUCGUAGAUAUUGGGAAGAACACCGGUGGCGAAGGCGGCUCACCUGGCUCAUUUCUGACGCUCAGGCGCGACAGCGUGGGGAUCGAAACAGG